AUGUCGACCUGUCUUCGUCAGCGCUAUGAGCCCUCUGGUGAUGCCUUAUACCUUUCUGUGGUUCAUCAGGAGCAUGCUCUUCAGCAGGGUGACUCUACUGUUGAUGACUUUUAUGCACAGUUUGCUAUCUGGCGCCUGCUUGAUUCUCUCCGCAGUGCUGGUUGUCGUACUUGCCCCUGCUGCCAAGCUGUCCAGGCCAAUUUGGAGUUUCAUCGCGUCUACGAGUUCCUGUCUCGGCUCCGUAAGGAGUUUGAGCCCCGGCGUGCUCAGUUGUUUGCUCGUGGCCGUAUUUCUCUCAUGGAGGCGCUUUCAGAGAUUCGUGCUGAGGAGACUCGCUUACGUGGUGCUGGUUUGCUGGAGGUUCCCUCUGUGCUCGCUACUCGGGCUUCUUCCACUCCACCUGCUGCACCGACCCAUUCUCGCUCGAGUGCUCCGCCGCUCUUGCCCACUCCUUCUGGAGGCUCAGGUCGCCCCCGUCCACAUUGUGACUACUGCAACAAUGAUGGUCAUAUUGAGUCCCAGUGCUACACAAAGCGAAAACACCUGCGCAAGGCGCGAUCAUCCUCUUCAGGGACUUCGUCA
rnacentral:rRNA from 1 species